UGAGCAUACAAAAUUAAGAUAUCAUUGCAAUUUUUGAAAAGUUAGAGUAUACUAUAAAUAAAAAUUGGAUCCCAAUUAGGGAUUAUGUGUCAAUGUUUUGAUUGCACAAGUUGAUAGUCAGUCCUAACUCUUGCCAACAAAAGAAGCCACACCAAGACAUUCGACAAUGGUCGUCAGAGUCUUACACUUAAACAAGACCUUAACGUUGACCCAUCAUGGCCUAAUAAAGAUCUCAUCCAACUGAAAGGUGUAGUUUUCAAAAGAAUCGACGAAUUUACAAAGAUGACGUCAAUGGUCCGUAUGAGACCACUGGAGACAGUUGUUGGUCGUUGGUGACGGCGACAAGGUGAGAGUGUUUUGUUUUGUUUUUUAUUUCAUUGGUUCAACAAAAUAGGUUAUAAAUUUGAAGAAAGAAAGUAUGCUUAAGUGCUUUUGGAAGAAGAAAAUAAAACGGGCAACACUAUAAAGAUAUGAGAUUAUGCGAAAUCCAAGAGGAUUGGCAGAGUGUCGUAAGAAAAAUCGAGCCACAACGAGAUAAAAAUAAUCAAAGAUAGGGUCCUGAUUUUUGGAUGCAAAGGAGGGGGGUGCUAUAUCUGGAAAAAGACCUCCUGCAACCUUUACGUGUAAUUUCUUUUUUUGUAUUUAUCUAUUAUCAAACAAUAUGAACAAUUAAUUUACGUAAUUAUUAGAGAUCAAAUGGACCUUCUUGAAUUUAUGUAGCUUUUGUUUUCGUAUGUUGUUCUCAUAUGUUAUCAAACAAUAUGAGCACUUAAUUUACAUAGUUAUUAGA